rnacentral:tRNA from 1 species
GGGGUUGUAGCUCAGUUGGAUAGAGCGAUCGCCUCCUAAGCGAUAGGUCGUGGGUUCGAUCCCCGCCAGCCCUG